GCUUACGGCCAUACCACUCUGAGCACGCCCGAUCUCGUCUGAUCUCGGAAGCUAAGCAGGGUCGGGCCUGGUUAGUACUUGGAUGGGAGACCGCCUGGGAAUACCAGGUGCUGUAAGCU
rnacentral:rRNA from 1 species